AAUGAACGCUGGCGGCAUGCCUAACACAUGCAAGUCGAACGAAGCCUUCGGGUUUAGUGGCGCACGGGUGCGUAACGCGUGGGAAUCUGCCCCUUGGUUCGGAAUAACAGUUAGAAAUGACUGCUAAUACCGGAUGACGACGUAAGUCCAAAGAUUUAUCGCCGAGGGAUGAGCCCGCGUAGGAUUAGCUAGUUGGUGUGGUAAAGGCGCACCAAGGCGACGAUCCUUAGCUGGUCUGAGAGGAUGAUCAGCCACACUGGGACUGAGACACGGCCCAGACUCCUACGGGAGGCAGCAGUGGGGAAUCUUAGACAAUGGGCGCAAGCCUGAUCUAACCAUGCCGCGUGAGCGAUGAAGGCCUUAGGGUUGUAAAGCUCUUUCAGCUGGGAAGAUAAUGACUGUACCAGCAGAAGAAGCCCCGGCUAACUCCGUGCCAGCCGCCGCCGUAAGAC
rnacentral:rRNA from 1 species